UGGGGAAUUUUGGACAAUGGGGGCAACCCUGAUCCAGCCAUGCCGCGUGAGUGAAGAAGGCCUUCGGGUUGUAAAGCUCUUUCAGGUGGAAAGAAAUCGCAUCUUUUAAUACAGGGUGUGGAUGACGGUACCAUCAGAAGAAGCACCGGCUAACUACGUGCCAGCAGCCGCGGUAAUAUGUAGGGUGCGAGCGUUAAUCGGAAUUACUGGGCGUAAAGCGUGCGCAGGCGGUUAUGUAAGACAGAUGUGAAAUCCCCGGGCUCAACCUGGGAACUGCGUUUGUGACCGCAUAACUAGAGUACGGCAGAGGGAGGUGGAAUUCCGCGUGUAGCAGUGAAGUGCGUAGAGAUGCGGAGGAACACCGAUGGCGAAGGCAGCCUCCUGGGCCAGUACUGACGCUCAUGCACGAAAGCGUGGGGGGCAAACAG
rnacentral:rRNA from 1 species